GCAUUCGUGGUGUAAUGGUAACAUUCCAGCCUUCCAUUGGUAACAAUUGAUAGCUUGAGCCUCGGGUUCGAUUCCCGGCGAAUGCA